ACUCAAAGGAAUUGACGGGGACCCGCACAAGCAGAGGAGCAUGUGGUUUAAUUCGACGGUAAGCGAACAACCUUACCAAGGUUUGACAUGUAGCUGCAAGCCGCUAGAAACAGUGGCCGCCUUCGAGGGUGCUACACAGGUGCUGCAUGGUUGCCGUCAGCUCGUGUCGUGAGAUGUACCGUUAAGUCGGGUAACGAGCGCAACCCCUAUUCCGUGUUGAAUAAUCACGGGAGACCGCCUCGGAUAACGGGGAGGAAGGCGGGGAUGACGUCAAAUCAGCAUGGCUCUUACACCUUGGGCUACACACGUGCUACAAUGGUUGGGACAAUGCGUUGCCAAGUCGCAAGACGGAGCUAAUCGCACCAAACCCAACCCCAGUUCGGAUUGAGGGCUGCAAUUCGCCCUCAUGAAGCCGGAUUUGCUAGUAACGGCCGAUCAGCAUCGCGGCCGUGAAUACGUUCUCGGGUCUUGUACACACCGCCCGU
rnacentral:rRNA from 1 species